GCAUACCUACGGGACGCAGCAGUGGGGGAUAUUGCACAAUGGGGGAAACCCUGAUGCAGCAACGCCGCGUGAGUGAAGAAGUAUUUCGGUAUGUAAAGCUCUAUCAGCAGGGAAGAGAAUGACGGUACCUGACUAAGAAGCCCCGGCUAACUACGUGCCAGCAGCCGCGGUAAUACGUAGGGGGCGAGCGUUGUCCGGAUUUACUGGGUGUAAAGGGUGCGUAGGCGGGUAAGCAAGUCAGAAGUGAAAUCCAUGGGCUUAACCCAUGAACUGCUUUUGAAACUGUUUAUCUUGAGUGAAGUAGA
rnacentral:rRNA from 1 species